AUUGAACGCUGGCGGCAGGCCUAACACAUGCAAGUCGAACGGUAACAGGAAGCAGCUUGCUGCUUUGCUGACGAGUGGCGGACGGGUGAGUAAUGUCUGGGAAACUUCCCGAUGGAGGGGGAUAACUACUGGAAACGGUAGCUAAUACCGCAUAACGUCGCAAGCCCAAAGAGGGGGACCUUAGGGCCUCUUGCCAUCGGAUGUGCCCAGAUGGGAUUAGCUAGUAGGUGGGGUAACGGCUCACCUAGGCGACGAUCCCUAGCUGGUCUGAGAGGAUGACCAGCCACACUGGAACUGAGACACGGUCCAGACUCCUACGGGAGGCAGCAGUGGGGAAUAUUGCACAAUGGGCGCAAGCCUGAUGCAGCCAUGCCGCGUGUAUGAAGAAGGCCUUCGGGUUGUAAAGUACUUUCAGCGGGGAGGAAGGGAGUAAAGUUAAUACCUUUGCUCAUUGACGUUACCCGCAGAAGAAGCACCGGCUAACUCCGUG
rnacentral:rRNA from 1 species